rnacentral:piRNA from 1 species
GAAAAUGAAAGUACAGACAGGUUCCCUGUG